rnacentral:rRNA from 1 species
UACGUAGGGUGCAAGCGUUAAUCGGAAUUACUGGGCGUAAAGCGUGCGCAGGCGGCUUUGCAAGACAGAUGUGAAAUCCCCGGGCUUAACCUGGGAACUGCAUUUGUGACUGGAAGGCUGGAGUGCGGCAGAGGGGGAUGGAAUUCCGCGUGUAGCAGUGAAAUGCGUAGAUAUGCGGAGGAACACCGAUGGCGAAGGCAAUCCCCUGGGCCUGCACUGACGCUCAUGCACGAAAGCGUGGGGAGCAAACAGG